rnacentral:misc_RNA from 1 species
AAACAAUCACAAAAUGAAAAGAUAACUUCUCUUUCUUUCCAGUAUAAGAUCAGAACCAUAAACUUCUCCGAUGGCCGGCGCCGGCGACGAUUCUCAUCUGCAGAACGACGUCGUUUCAGUCCACUGUAUAAACGACAGUCUCGGCGACGAUGAGCUUCGGGCCGUACUGUCGAGACUUGGAGACGACAAAGACAAGGAAGUUUUCGGGCUGGUAUGUAAGCGGUGGCUUCGUAUUCAAAGUACUGAAAGGAAGAAGCUUUGUGCUCGGGCCGGGCCUCACAUGCUCAGAAGAAUCGCGUCCCGAUUCACUCGAUUACAUGAGCUUGAUCUAUCUCAAUCGGUUUCUAGAUCUUUCUAUCCUGGUGUUACUGAUUCUGAUCUUUCAGUUAUUGCUACUGCUUUCUCUUGCUUGCGAAUUCUCAAUCUGCAGAACUGUAAAGGCAUAACAGACAAAGGAUUGGCUGCUAUUGGAUCAAGUCUGUCUUCUUUACAGUCCUUAGAUGUAUCCUACUGCAGAAAGAUCACUGACAAGGGGCUUUCAGCUGUUGCUGAGGGGUGUCAUGACUUGAGAAUAUUGCAUCUUUCUGGCUGUAGAUUUGUCUCAGAUUCAUUAAUGAAAGCUCUCUCCGAGAAUUGCCAUAAUGUGGAAGAGAUAGGUUUGCAAGGAUGCACCAACAUUACCAACUCAGGUCUCUCUGUUAUGGUUGAAGGUUGCCGGAGGAUAAAGCAUUUGGACAUUAACAAAUGCAUCAAUAUUGGUGAUAUUGGGAUAUCUAGUGUGUCUGAAGCUUGUUCAUUGACACUCAUGACAUUGAAGUUGUUGGAUUGCUAUAAAGUUGGUGAUGACUCUAUCUUAUCCUUGGCCAACCACUGCAAAAAUCUUGAGACACUCGUUAUUGGUGGUUGCCGUAACAUAUCAGAUGAGUCCAUGAAGUCACUGGCAGCUUCUUGUAGUAAUAGUCUGAGGAAACUGAGGAUGGAUUGGUGCUUGAAUAUUACAGACUCUUCAUUGGACUGCAUCCUUUCCAAAUGCAGAGAGCUUGAGGUUCUCGACAUUGGCUGCUGUGAGGAGUUAACUGAUGCUGCAUUUCAACAAUUAGGAAGUGACAACUUUAUGUUGGGGAUGAAGAUUUUGAAGGUCAGUAACUGUCCAAAGAUCACUGUUGAAGGAAUUAAGAAGCUUAUGAAGUCAUGCAAAUUUCUUGAAUAUCUAGACGUACGAUCUUGUCCCCUUAUCACUAAAGCAGGGUGUGAGGAGGCUGGAAUUCAGUUUCCUGAAUCCUGCAAAAUAAACUUCACUGGAAGCUUAGCAGAGCCAGAUGUGUUACUUUGAGCAGUACUUGUUUUAGCAAUGUCUUUGAAGGCCUGAUGGGGAUCAUACAGUGUAAUUAUCACCUUCUUUGCCUAAGACCUAAAAUAUGACUUUGGAAGCUCCUGAUGUCAGUCCCUUGUUCCCAUUAAUUUGCCUUUUGUUAAGCAUCAAGUUUUUCUGUUGUAGAUUAUUCCCUGCUUUUCAGUCAUUUGAUAUCAAACUCCUGUAUAUCAUCCUUGUAAACUACUAGUUAGCCCCAAUGUUU